ACUAGAUAUGGUGGUCACGGUCUCUCGAGUCGCAAAAUCGAGAGCUAAGAGGGAAGCCGGUGCGCCCGAGUCUUAAUGGCGGGCAAUGCCGGCGCUGCCCCCGCAACUGUAAGCGGCGAGCUGAAGUCCAUUAUUGUGUCACUGGGACCGCAAGGCCCUGGGAAGACCGGACCGACGCCUAGACCCGCAAGCCAGUAGAUCUGCCGCGACAACAAAAACGUC
rnacentral:ncRNA from 2 species